CCUACGGGAGGCAGCAGUGAGGAAUAUUGGUCAAUGGACGAGAGUCUGAACCAGCCAAGUAGCGUGAAGGCUGACUGCCCUAUGGGUUGUAAACUUCUUUUAUAUGGGAAUAAAACAGGGUAUGCAUACCCUCUUGUAUGUACCAUAUGCAUAAGGAUCGGCUAACUCCGUGCCAGCAGCCGCGGUAAUACGGGGGAUCCGAGCGUUAUCCGGAUUUAUUGGGUUUAAAGGGAGCGUAGGUGGAUUGUUAAGUCAGUUGUGAAAGUUUGCGGCUCAACCGUAAAAUUGCAGUUGAAACGGGCAGUCUUGGGUACAGUAGGGGUGGGCGGAAUUCGUGGUGUAGCGGUGAAAUGCUUAGA
rnacentral:rRNA from 1 species